rnacentral:rRNA from 1 species
GAUGAACGCUGGCGGCGUGCCUAAUACAUGCAAGUCGAGCGGACGGACGAGAAGCUUGCUUUUCUGAUGUUAGCGGCGGACGGGUGAGUAACACGUGGAUAACCUACCUAUAAGACUGGGAUAACUUCGGGAAACCGGAGCUAAUACCGGAUAAUAUUUUGAACCGCAUGGUUCAAAAGUGAAAGACGGUCUUGCUGUCACUUAUAGAUGGAUCCGCGCUGCAUUAGCUAGUUGGUAAGGUAACGGCUUACCAAGGCAACGAUGCAUAGCCGACCUGAGAGGGUGAUCGGCCACACUGGAACUGAGACACGGUCCAGACUCCUACGGGAGGCAGCAGUAGGGAAUCUUCCGCAAAGGGCGAAAGCCUGACGGAGCAACGCCGCGUGAGUGAUGAAGGUCUUCGGAUCGUAAAACUCUGUUAUUAGGGAAGAACAUAUGUGUAAGUAACUGUGCACAUCUUGACGGUACCUAAUCAGAAAGCCACGGCUAACUACGUG